GAUCAUGGCUCAGAUUGAACGCUGGCGGCAGGCCUAACACAUGCAAGUCGAGCGGUAGAGAGAAGCUUGGCUUCUCUUGAGAGCGGCGGACGGGUGAGUAAUGCCUAGGAAUCUGCCUGGUAUGGGGGAUAACGUUCGGAAACGGGCGCUAAUACCGCAUACGUCCUACGGGAGAAAGCAGGGGACCUUCGGGCCUUGCGCUAUCAGAUGAGCCUAGGUCGGAUUAGCUAGUUGGUGAGGUAAUGGCUCACCAAGGCGACGAUCCGUAACUGGUCUGAGAGGAUGAUCAGUCACACUGGAACUGAGACACGGUCCAGACUCCUACGGGAGGCAGCAGUGGGGAAUAUUGGACAAUGGGCGAAAGCCUGAUCCAGCCAUGCCGCGUGUGUGAAGAAGGUCUUCGGAUUGUAAAGCACUUUAAGUUGGGAGGAAGGGCAGUUACCUAAUACGUGAUUGUUUUGACGUUACCGACAGAAUAAGCACCGGCUAACUCUGUG
rnacentral:rRNA from 1 species